UUCGGGGAUAAUUUAGAAGAAUCAAAGAAGACAUUAAGGCGCGAUUGAAUGGGUUAAUAAAGUGAAAGGACCGCAUGCGCAAAUUGACCAUUUUCGGGCAGCGAAUCGGUCUUAGGCGCGGAUCCCUUUCCCUGUGAAAUGGCGCCGUUUUUUAAUAAAUGUGAAGUCUUUUUUCCUUCCAAAUGCAGCUACUCUUUUAGCGAAAACAAUAACCCUAAAAUCAAUUUGUGAGGGUUUCUAUCAUCUGUCGAAUCCACCAUUUUAUUUGGUGUUUGAUGGUGCCCCAACGGCGACUAGAUUCUGCCGACGAAUGCCAUGCUCAAAGAAAUCUGGUUCGUCUGUACGGAGGAAGGCCAUUCAUGGGGAGGCUGUGAUGCGCGCGAGUAGCAGUUCAGUGACCUAGAAUUUCCAGAGUCUUCAACCAUCCGGACAGUUUGGAUUAAUUUCGGGAUUGGGCCCACUAGAGUGUUAGUUUAUUUGGGCUAGAAUUUAGAUUUAAUGUUUGGUCAUGGGCUAUUUUAAACUAAUGAACCUUUUAUUGAAUUGUUUUUUUAUUUUUUGUUUUAUUUUGGUUUUGGGUUCUUUUCUGGGCCCAGAAUUUUGUAAAUGGACAUUGUUUUGGGCUAUUUAUUGUAUUUUAUUUAUUUAUUUUGAUUUAUAAUAGGCCGGGCGAAUUGGGCCUAUCACAAAGUCAAUUAUACAA